CAAUAUAUUAUGAGGUGUGCCACAAGGAAUUUGUGACUCACGAAGCUAAAGUACCAAUGUUGGCAGAUGAUUUAUAAAACAAACAUGAAUUAGAGUGGAUUCAAGGGGCGUGUUGCUCCUAGGGAUGUCAUCCGCCUUAUGUGUGCAAGCAACGAUACCGGUGUCAGCGUGGAGCAGUGGAGGGGCGCCAGCAGGAGCACCGCCAAUGUUUGCUGUGCACGGAUGAGGCACUAGGUACCGACAAGGGUCGUUUCAUUUCAUCUACACGAGAAAGCUCUAUGCAGUUGUUUUCCUGCUUUGCAGAUUAAAGAACAACUAACUGCUCAACAGAG